rnacentral:rRNA from 1 species
AAUGAACGCUGGCGGCAGGCCUAACACAUGCAAGUCGAGCGGAAGGGGCUUCGGCCCUGAGAGCGGCGGACGGGUGAGGAGAGCGUGGGAAUCUGCCUGUAGAUGGGGGAUAGCCCGGAGAAAUCCGGAUUAAUACCGCAUAAUACCUGAGGGUUAAAGUGGAGGAUCGCAAGACUUCACGUCUACAGAUGAGCCCACGUCAGAUUAGCUAGUUGGUAGGGUAAAGGCCUACCAAGGCGACGAUCUGUAGCUGGCCUGAGAGAGUGGCCAGCCACACUGGAACUAGAACAGUGUCCAGACUCCUACGGGAGUCAGCAGUGGGAAAUAUUGGACAAUGGGCGCAAGCCUGAGCCAGCCAUGCCGCGUGUGUGAAGAAGGCCUUCGGGUUGUAAAGCACUUUAAGUUGGGAGGAAGGUUCCUUGGCUAAUAUCCAAGGGAAUUGACGUUACCGACAGAAUAAGCACCGGCUAAUUCCGUGCCAGCAGCCGCCGUAA